rnacentral:rRNA from 1 species
UGCGGGAGGGACAUUA